GUUAUGUUUACAGGAUACACGCAAAAAAGAUAACGGCAGCGCUUUAACCGUUAUCUUGAAUCAGACCACAUUAGUUUUUUCUUCGCCCUUGGUUCACACUUUUCAGUGAGAAAAGAGAGAGAGAGGCGAAGGAUGGGGAAGUACACGAGGAAGUGCAGCAGAGGGGUCGGAGAACUCGCGGUGAUGGAGGUGACCCAGGUGGUUGGGGUGAGGACGAGAGGGCAGUCCCACUCCCUGGCCGACGCGGCCGCUGCCGCCGUCAAGAGUCCAAGGCGGAGGAGAACGGCCGCGCCGCCGUCCACGGAGGUAGUGCAGACGUCGUCCUACCUCCAGCUCCGCAGCCGCCCCCUCUUCAUGACGAUCCGGAGGCCGCGGUUGCAGGCAGAGUAUUCCCCCGCCGCCUCCGACCCCGGCCCUGCUGCGGAGGGGAUCUCCCAGUGCUCGAGCAACGGUUCUAGCGAGGUGGUGGGCGACGGGACGAAAGUCGAGGUUCUGGGGAGUUCGACGUGCAACUUCAAAUCUAGAAGGGCGAGAGAGACGACCCCCUCGAGCGUGGCACGUCGCGAAGCGGGCGAUCUGGAAUCGACGGCUGCGAGGGAGAGAAUGAGGUCGGGUUCGAGUCCGACGGUUGGGGCGACAACGACGGAAGCCGAAAUCGAGGAGUUUUUCGCGGCGGCGGAGACGGAUCAGGCGCAGCGCUUCGCCGAGAAGUACAAUUACGACGUUAUCGGCGACGUUCCGUUGGACGGCCGCUUCGACUGGGUUCGGAUCAACCUUUGAAGCGAACGGCCAAAGAAAAUGCAAAAAAAAAAAAUGAAACUUCUUUGUCAUUUCGUCUCUCUUUCAUGUGGGUUUUCUUUGGGGGUCUGUAGUUUCUUCUAGAAGCAAUGUACAGAAUUGUAAGUUAAACCACCGCCAUUUCAUCGCUGUCCCUUUCUCCACCUUCGUUCGUAAGGAUAGGAGGUAGGAGAAGUAGAAUAUGCUUCCAUCUCCUGCUGCAGUCCUAAGAAACACUCGUCUCCCUUCUCCCGCUCGUUUCCACGGUCCGCUCUCGAUCUCACGGCCCACCCUGCCUGAUAAAAUUUCCCUAUACUGGUGGGCGGAGGCUACGAGGAAGAGGAAGGAGGAAGCAGGGAGGAGCUCUCGGCCGGCGAUGCUCCGCCACGUGACGAUGAACCCGACGGUUUGGCGGAAAGCUUGAGAAGAGGGCCCGCGCGGCACGUGGUGAGAGCUCUUGCCCGCCCAAUCAUCUCACAUUUGCGUUCUACUUUUCCUCCGCUAUUUUCUCUGCGAUCGAUCGAAACUCGAUUUUAAAUUACUUGUUUUGCUGUUCUGGGGGCUGCAUCGGAUCGUGUGAACUUGUAAUCAUGAGAUGGAAGAACGCACUCGGUGGGAAAGUGAGAGAGAGAUAGAGAGAGAGAGGAAAGGAGGAAUAUUCCACCUUCGGAAAUCGUGCGAGUCGCUUCCACCGAAGAGAUGUGGAAGAGAUUAAAUGAAAAAAGAAGUAAUGGAUGAGAUUAAAAAAAAGAGAGGAUGGAAGUCUGAACGCCACGCCUUCUGGUGGAAGGAAUUUGGGGGUUGGAGUUCCGGGAUGGGGAGACUUGUUGUGGAUCCCUAGACGAGUAACAUUCCAUGAGGGGGCCCUAAGAUAGUAGCCGCGCUUCUGAGGUCUCUUUAUGAUCUGCGACCGCAGAUGACUUUGACAUAUGCCUCUAAAGCGGACCUUUUGAAGUCCCUUUUCGAUUGCAGGCCAUAUGAGGAUGAUGAGAAAGGAAGUUAAAUAAAUCAAAUAUUUGUAACAGAGGAAUCCGAACAUGCGAAAGGAAGUGAAAUAUUGAAACGCGAGGAAGCGAAUAUGAGUGUUUUUAUGGAAAGAAGUAACUUGAAAUGAGACUCUGAGAGAUGGAUGGGUGAUCGGAAGACGUAUUAAUGUUGAGCACCAUCUCGAUUCGAUGGAUUGAUUAUUUUUGCUGAAAUUGGUAGAUGUAUCCUUGUAAUUAAGAGCCAUGCUUUGCACUGCCCAUUGUGGCAUUAUUAUAUUUUCCCUGAAUAUUGAAAAGGUAAGUUGACCAUGUUACAAGGAGUGAGUGAUAUCGGGAAGACAGUUUGACCAAAUUAAAGGGUUUGACAAUCUGGUGUAUUUUAUAUAAUACAAAUGCCACAGACUCCUAACGAGAAGUAUUCCUUGGAAGAUGUGUUUGCGGAUUUCGAACUCCAUGCAAACUACGUUCCUGCAAUUGUUUGUUUAUUGUACCAAAAAGGAAUCGUCAUUCGCAGAUAUGCAGUAUAUUAGAGAAGGCCAACAACUAUUAGAUGAUACUGUAGGAACAUUUGACUAAUGAAAUGUAGGCAAGAGUUGGAAAUUAGUAGCCAAAGAAUGUCUAAAAGCAGAAAACAGAAAUAGUUACCAAAUAAGCUAUAUCUUCUAAAUUCAUUGGUUUCUUCUGUCUUUAAGGGAAGUUUUGUGCUCCUAAAUAGAAUCUUCCAAGUACAUUACAAACAAUAUGUAAACUACGGUUCUAAUAUAUAAACAACGGAAAAACACUAUCGUGUGGAACCAUAUUACCAUGUGGUUCUAAUGUUGACCCUAAGGACAUUGACCCUCAGUCAUUCUCCAAUGAUUCUAUGGUUUUAAUGUUUUGCAUAAGACUAACUCGAAAGGCUUACCUAUUUGAUUAGAUAUAAGAUAUUUCCUCAAAACGUAAGGGUUAGAGUUGUCUUAAUUGAUUGGGGUCCUUCGUAUAUUAGUUGGCUUUCGAGAUCAAUUAAUAACUAGCGGUUAAAAAGCGUUUUGUAUUUAUCGGUUGACUUUUAACCAUGUCUCGUCCCGAGUUGACCCGACCGAGAGCCGUGAGUUUGGAUUCACUGAAUCACCGAGUCGAGAAUACAUCCUCAACCCGUAUUUGAUGGUGUGUGCAGAACACAAUAGCCGAUCCGAAUUCAACGACCGGAUCGGCAUACCAGUGUACUAUUCCUUCAUCAAUUGUAAAUCCGAAUCCGAUCCGGUUUCUGGUAUUACCCCAGUCUUCUCUGUGGGUGCCGCGGGCGAGCCACAUCCCCUUUCAUCUAAUGACUCCGAUUAAGAGACUCGUGGGUGCGCUCGUCCACUCUCUUUCCACAUCACGUCCGAGGUGUGCUCCACCAAUUAAAGUCAUCGUCCCACGCACGAUGUGCGUCUACGCAUUUUGUAGUGGUGUGACGACACACGUCCAUCGAGUGGACAGGCGAUAAAGGCAUUCAACCAAAUGAGUAGAUGAUGCCUUCCUGAGAUGUUUUCCAGCAGUCUCUACUAAAUUCCCAAGACUGCAACGCCCCUCGUGUCAAAUGACGUAAUUUACGUCAGAUUAUGUUACAUAUAUAAGUUCCCUGCCAAAUGCCAGCUUAGAUGGACAAGUCAACCAACUCUUGCAUUCCACGUUUAAGUGGGCCCCAAUGACAGGGCGGCAUGUAUUCGAGUUAAAAAUGGACGUGGCGGUAUAGAUAUACAGGAUUAAUAGUACAGUGACACUAUACUUACCAGAUUUUGAUUGGCGAGAGCAACGGAGUCCCAUGGAGCCCACAUCCCGAUAAAAGUGGGUACUCAAUGAAGCGUCGACAGGCGUCCAUCGAGCAAGGGAGGAGAAGGGUUUAUUUUAUUUUAUUGUAUUAUUAAUGUUGGCACGAGCGGUCGCACAAAAGGAGGAAUAAUCGCCGAAGUCGAGAGGCUUGGGGGUUUUCGUGAGAUUUCGGGCCGCGGAGGUUCGGGAUGAUGUGGGCCGAGGGAGGGCGGUUCUACUGGGGAGGACGGAGGGGGAAGGGCGGAGGGAAGCGAAGGGCAUCCUGGUGAUGUUCGCGUGGCUCUCUAGCCUGGAGAGCCAUCUGAAGCCUUACGGCGAUCUUUACUGGUCUCUCGGGUGGAGACCCCUCGUUUGCCAUGUCGAUUUCCUCACGCUGUAAGGCGCUGAUCGCUCUGGUUCUUACUUUCUGACGAAGAUUCUGCGCGACGUCAACGAAUGCAACUCCAGGAUCUGGUUUUUUGUGAUGCUGAUCAAUCUAUUCUUGUCUUCCAAAGACAUGGAUGAAGAGAAAUCUGUUGUGCAACGAGUUAAAAGUUUAUCUUGCCACAGAAAAUCUAUGUUGGUGCAAAAUUUGGUCUACCUAUAAUCACUAUGUUCUUACAUUAUCAAAGAGGAUUUUCCGUAACAAGGCCACUUCGCUUGCAUGUGGUGUACUUGAUGAGCUCAUGAAGUUUUCCACACUUGAAGUAUUAGUUGUCAUCACAUUUACUUCGAUAAACCAGGUUAUAAAGAUCAAGCAGCUACCAGUUGUUCUCAUGAGCUUUUCUUUGGGAUUAAGUGGUUGCAUGUAUAAGGUUCUUCAGAUUCUCAAUGGAAAGAUGCAAGAAGAACUUGGUCUGGAUGAAUAUCGGCUGAUAAGAGAGUGUAUCUGUGGAAAAAUAUAUGACUCCGCUACUGUAGACUUUACUGGUAAAAUGGCCACUCGAUUUCUCCAUCAUCACACCGCUCAGAGAUUGUUUAGCCCAACAAAAAUAACAUCAUGGAUGAGAAAAGUCUUGACAUCUGGUCUGGAUGUUGUUCUCCCAAGUAGAUCUGAAGCACAGCAUGCAGAGUAUUGGCAGUCUUUAGCAUGGGUCCUAUUCUUAUAUUUUCAUCAGAAGAUGAUGACCUUGCCCCUUACCAAGUUAUCUUUGAACUUUUCUCUAUGUCUGAAAGAGCUCGGUGUCGAUGCUAGACAUGUCAAAUGGAGUAAUUCUCCUCAUGUAUGCACUAUAGUCAUCACCAAACUGAUUACCACUCCAAUGUCAUUGAGUUACUUGGCAAGGCAGCUACAAUAUUUUCCCAGAGAAGGCUAUUCAAUGAAGGAUCAGAAAACCUCAGAAGUUCCUGUAACAAUAUAUCAGAGUCCAUUUGCAGUCUUCAUGAAACGGCACUGAGCUCAAACGAGAGCUUAAGAAGGGUCGACGUUAGUGCUAGUGAUAAUAUUUGUUUACCCAGCACAAGCAACAAUCUGGAAGUGAAAGUUGGAAGCUCUUUGCUAGACGAGCGGAAGGGUAAUUCGUUUACUUUGCCCAGCAUCAACCCGCAAGGGGUUUUAAGCCAGAUCUUGUUCGAUGUAUUUGUUCCUAAGAAUGUUGAGGGCUGGGACAUAAAGCCAGUUUCCUUAAAUGUGAAGCAGUCUAUUGAUUCAGCCCACCAUCAUGGUCCUUCAAAUCAUAUGAGGUGCAUGAGAUGCUCCAGAUUGUAGAAAUUUUCCGCUGACUGCCGAGGGAUAUCUGUAAAUGUAACUGGAUGCAUGUGAAUGCAACCAUCAGCACUGUAUAGUCUUUGGUAGAGAUUCCGAAAUCAGAACAAGGAUGUGCUACUGCUCUACAUUGUGGAUUCCAUCCAGGAUCAAAAGAUAUGGAUUGGCGUGUAUGAAUCUUGUACUAGUGAUCGAGAAGCUUAUCUUUGGGUGCUUCCUUCUCCUCCUUUGUUUUCCACCGGCCUGUUUUUUUUUUGUUUUCUUACAUGUUGCUUCCACCACUGGAAUGAAUCCAUGUGCUUGCCGGCCCCGCUUGUGAGUCAGCAGUCACCUGUUGAAGCACACUCUUUUUCCUUCUUCUGUUCGAUGAAAUGCCUCACCCACACGUUCUGCGACCGGCGAUGGUGGAGGGAGCGCGACGUGCGGCUUGACGCCUCCUUCCCUCUUCCCUGGCGCCAGGCUUGGGGCGAGGCAGUGAAGCGGCCGAAGGCGACGUCCCACGCGCUUGCUUUCGCUUGGCGCAGUCAAACAGCGACUCCUUGUAGCGGAGGCCACCGCGUUUGCCAGCCGCGAAUGAACUGGCUGAUAAGUUGACUCUCUCA